rnacentral:lncRNA from 1 species
CCCGAUUCCCAUAUUUUCGUGUGCUGCCCCCGCCUUCCGAGUGGGCCCGCGUCCCCCAAAACCGGAUUGCCUAACAUUUUUCAGGCCAUCAAAUACGACCUAAGGAACCAUUGUCACCGCCCUUCCAUUGCCGUUCCUCCUUGUUUUGCGUUUUACGUUCAAAAAACUAGAAUUUCGCCCGAUUCCCAUAUAUUCGUGUGCUAUAGCCAACCCUUCCUAGUGGGUCCGGGUCCCCCGGCCCCCGAUCGCCUAAAAUUUUUCCGGGCUAUCAAAUACAACCUAAGGAACCAUAUUCACCGCCCUGCCAUGACCGUUCCUCGUUGUUUUGCUUUUUACGACCAAAAAACUAGAAUUAUAUCUGAUUCCCAUAUUUUCGUGUACUCUAGCCCACGCCUUCCGAGUGGGCCAGGGUCCCACGAAACCGGAUUGCCUAACAAUUUUCCAGGCCAUCAAAU